CCUACGGGUGGCAGCAGUGAGGAAUAUUGGUCAAUGGGCGCGAGUCUGAACCAGCCAAGUAGCGUGAAGGAUGACUGCCCUACGGGUUGUAAACUUCUUUUAUAAAGGAAUAAAGUGAGGUACGCGUGCCUUUUUGUCUGUACUUUAUGAAUAAGGAUCGGCUAACUCCGUGCCAGCAGCCGCGGUAAUACGGAGGAUCCGAGCGUUAUCCGGAUUUAUUGGGUUUAAAGGGAGCGUAGAUGGGUUGUUAAGUAAGUGGUGAAAGUUUGCGGCUAAACCGUAAAUUGCGAUUGAUACUGGCAGUCUUGAGUACAGUUGAGGUAGGCGGAAUUCGUGGUGUAGCGGUGAAAUGCUUAGAUAUCACGAAGAACACCGAUUGCGAAGGCAGCUUACUAAGCUGCCACUGACAUUGAUGCUCGAAAGUGUGGGUAUCAAACAGGAUUAGAUACCCGAGUAGUC
rnacentral:rRNA from 1 species